rnacentral:lncRNA from 1 species
AAAAAAGGAGAGAACAAGCCUGUUUUUUCCAGUUCAAGACACUUUCCAAAACUGUCCUUCACGUAGCAACAGCUCCACCUGCUGGACAUGAAUGGUAUCAUUACGGACUACAAGACCAGACUGCCAACAGAUAGCCCCAGAAACAAAUGAGACUGCAAGAUUACCAAGUGGAAAAGAAGAGGGUCUAUUUAGAACCAGUGAAGUCAAGCAUGGAUCGUCACUACAGCAGACAGCUGGCUCAGUGCAACAGACUCAUGUUCCACCCUCCUGAUGUUCACAGCCACAGUAGUGACUUCUUGGUGAAAGCUUAGGGACCAGACAACCAGGAUUCCUACCUGCCUCUUCCACAUUAAUACCUGGGGACAGGUUACUUCAUCGAUGUUACGAUCCCGCAUCUGAGAGAUGCAGAUUCCAAUAGCACUGGCCCUCAUGAGAGAAGUGAAUGCUAUGUGAAGUCCCAGGAACUAACUUACAGCUGUGCCAGAUGCACAGCAGUGCUUAAUAA